GGCGAGGUUUCCUUCGGCACGUCCAAACUUUCGUCAUUUUUUCAAAAUACAAAAGCAAAACUCCUUACUUUUUGCUGCAGAGAAAUGUAAAACAGUUGGAACUAAUCGGAAAACCUGGUUUAAAUCCCAAUUAUUGUUGUAUUCCCAUGGAAAAAGUGUUUUUCUUGCAAAUUUUUGCUCGAAAACAAACUAUUGGCAGAAUUUUUUUCACUCCUCGAAACUCUCCUUAGUCUUUUUGAAAGCUGAUUUUUCCGCGCGCCGGCUUCAACGAAUCAUAGACUUUCAUCAUAGGAGUUAGCCUUCCAGUUAUUUUUAGAGUUCACUGG
rnacentral:lncRNA from 1 species